GGGGGUGAGAUGGGACCUACAGGUUAGUGGUGAAAAACCACAUACUCGGACAACAAGAUUCCCCAUAGGCCACAACCCCUGUAUUGUGUGGGGAAGGACUGAGUCAGUCGCGGCCGGAGGGGAGAAAAAGCGAAGGGAAAGCACGGACUACUUGAUGUAUCGGUGCGGCGAAUUUAUUUCACUUUGCCUAAGGAACGGGGUGUGAUGCGGCUCCCAUUGCCUAGGGAAAAAACCCGGAUGUAAAGUACUUACCUGCUUUCUGUGACUGCCUACCUCCUUAAGGGAACGGGGGAGAGUCAUUGGGUGGCUGCACCCUCAUUAUGGACAGUUUGCUAUUCACUUUGGCGGAGAAGGGGUUCCAUCUAUUGAUGGGGUCAGUGACCCCACCGUUUGAAAGCUGGAAUGAGUCAGAAGAAGGCAAAACAUGUGCCCCAGAAUCUUUUGUGAAUAUUUAUUAGAGGGGUGUGUGGCUAAUCAUUCCUCAUAGUGGCCAGCUGAUGUCAGUCAAGCCCUUGUAGUGCGUUCUGCUGCCAUGGAGCGGGGAAUCCCAACAAGAAACCCAGAGAUGUAUAACAGAGUUGAAAUUGCAAAAAACAACAAAUAUUUGCACAAUUUAAAGGAAAAGUAAACCCUCAGAAAAGUUUCCUUUUUUCACACUUCCUCCACUGGAUCAUCAAAUCAAGAUACAAUUAAAGACCAGCGCCACAGGCUAUAGAAAAAACCAAAUAACAGAACCUAGUGCAAUAUUGAUAAUACACUAAUCUGUGUGUGUCUUGAACCAUAGAAAGUCUAUGCACAGAUUUUUUGUGUGCGUUUUAAAGUGCUAUACUGAAUUCUACAAGGUGCUACUGUAUUUCCAAAUAUAAAAUUAUAAUUAAGUCAAACAAAGUGCUUUUAGUGCUUGCUUCAAAAGGUAAAAUGAAUUAAAAUAAUGGUGUUUUCUU